rnacentral:rRNA from 1 species
CCCUAUGGGGUGCAGCAGGCGCGAAAACUUGGCAAUGCGAGAAAUCGUGACCAGGGAACUCCAAGUGCAUCGGGUAAGACCGGUGCUUUUCUUGACUCUAAAUAGGUCUUGGAAUAAGGGGUGGGUAAGGACGGUGCCAGCCGCCGCGGUAAUACCGGCGCCUCAAGUGGUAGUCGCUUUUAUUGGGCCUAAAACGUCCGUAGCCGGUCUGAUACAUUCGUGGGUAAAUCAACCAGCUCAACUGGUUGAAUUCUGCGAGGACGGUCAGACUUGGGACCGGGAGAGGUGUGGGGUACGCUCAGGGUAGGGGUAAAAUCCUGUCAUCCUGAGCGGACCACCUGUUGCGAAGGCGCCACACUAGAACGGAUCCGACGGUCAGGGACGAAGCCUAGGGGCACGAACCGGAUUAGAUACCCGGGUAGUCCUAGGUGUAAACGCUGUGGACUUGAUGUUGGGGGUGCUCCGAGCACUCUCAGUGUCGAAGCGAAGGUGAUAAGUCCACUGCCUGGGAAGUACGGUCGCAAGGCUGAAACUUAAAGGAAUUGGCGGGGGAGCACCGCAACCUGAGGAUUGUGCGGUUUAAUUGGAUUCAACGCCGGA